GUGUAUUUGGAAAAAUGAUCAACAAAAAUGACAUAGUAUAGUUGUUUGUCAAGAGAGACAAUAGGAGAGGGCCCCCAUACAUCAGUAAAAAUAACUUGAAGUGGUUUUGUACUAACCAGUGUUGAAGUAGAAAAGGUAGUUUAUGACUUUUAUUGCAGUAGCAUGAAUUACAAAAUGUGAAAGAUGACUUUUUGGAGUGAGGUAGUGAAAAUUGAGAGACAAUGGAUUGAAGGACACGCAAAUGUGGGUGACCGAGUCGACGAUGCCAGUGAUUUAGAGAUGGUGAGGCAACAGCAAAUUGACUUGUGGGUGUGUCUGAUUUCAGGAAGGAAGUUGAUGAGGAUGGCCACUCAUACAGGUUGUUCUUAUUCUGGCCGCGAACCAAGGAUGCCCCUGUGCUCAGAUCCUUCACAAUAAAAGAAGAUGGAAAAAAUUCAAUAUAGGUUUGAUUUUGAGCACAAAAUUUUCAAACAGAUAUGAGAUUCUUUCGUAUAGCAGGUGCACAUAAAACAUUAUUUAAAGUGAAUGAAGUUUGAGAAGUGGGAAGAAGAGAAGAGCCAAUGUGAGUAAUAGGGAUACCAUUACCAUCACCCAUAGUAACCUCAUCGGUGCUAGCAUACUUAUAAAGAUUAUUGAGAUUUUGAUGAUCAGUAGUAAUGUGAUGAGAUGCCCCAGUAUCGAGAACCCAUUGAGUUAAGGAAGAGGUGGGUGGUUUAGCAGCAAAAUAAGCUUGAGGAUUUGUGGGAGGACGAGAACGACAAGUUUUGGCAAUAUGGCCAAAUUUGUCACAAAGUUGGCAUUGGAUACGACCAUGGGAAUGAGGAGGGAAGUGAGGGCGCCAACCAAAUGGUUGUCGAGGGUUAAAGGAUUGGAUUUGAUGUGAUUGAUUUUGGGUUGAGCUAAAGGAGCGAGGGGAAGAGUUUUGUGAAUUAUAAUGAGAAGAUUGUUGAUUGCCCCAUCUCUUUUUAUUGGACUGAUUUGAAGGAGGCUGAGAUCGAGGAGUUCGUUGUGUCAGAUUGGCAGUGAUGGUGGCUAAAGGUUUCUUGAGUUCUUCAUGUUUGAGAAAUAGCUCAUGAUCAGAAAGUUUGUCAAAUAAUUCUUCAAAAGAUAUUGGAGAAUCCCAAGCCCGAAUAGCAGCACUGAUUUCUUUAUAUUCAGGACCCAGACCACUCAAGAUCUUGACUAUUAAUUCAGCAUUGCUGAUAGGAGAACCAGCAGUGGCUAAUUCAUCGGUAAUGGACCGAAUUUCACAUAAAUAUUCAGCAAUAGACUUGGUGUCACGAGUAACCUUGGCUAGCAUGUCUCGGAGACUAUAGAUUCGGGUUUGAGAUUUGUUGGCAUAGGUAGUCUGAAGAAAUUCCCAUGCUUGAUGAGAAGUGAGAGCAGAAGCAACUGAAGGAGCAAUGGUGAUAUCAACUGAAGCCAUAAUGGCAUUCCGGAUUAGAUUAUCUUAUCUGGUCCAGAUUUUGUAAGCCGGAUUAAUGAUCUCUUGGUCAUUUUGCAUAAUAGUUUUGGGGGGACAAGAACUGGUGCCAUCAACAAAGGGGAUUAAAUCAUACCCAUAAAGAAGGGUGGAGACUUGAGCUUUCCAGGUGGCAAAGGUGCUGCUGCCCGUAAGCUUGACGGGUAGUUGAGAUGAGGGGUGAAAGCUAACAAUAGAGUUAGAGAGAGGAGUGAUUCUU
rnacentral:misc_RNA from 1 species